CGGCGGGGCGUGGGCGCUGGGGUGCAGCAGGCCAAUGGCGGGGGCGCGAGAUGGGCCGCGGCCCACGCGGGCGAUGCGCGUGCAGUGGGGGGGGAAAGGAGGGGGCUGGGCUGGUGCUGCUGCAGGGUUGGGCCAAAAUUUGCAGAGAGAAGGAAACUCCCUUUCUCUUUUUUUUUAUAAAGAGUGAUUUACAAACUAUUUUGCAAAACAAAUUUCAAACCAUUUUGAAUCCAAACAAAACCUGGGAUCAUUUGGAACUUGUUUUUUUUUAGACUAUUUUGAAAUCCAAAUAUAUUUUAGUUUAAACACAUUUCUAAAUUGUUUUCCAACUCGAAUUAGUUUUCAAAUAGGACUUUUGGAGUUUUAUUUUUUUUUUGAAAACCAACAGGACCCAAACGUGGCUCGCUAGAAAAUAUUAAAAUUCUUUUUUUUUCACACAGAAGCUAAACAAAGCUAGGGCACAAAAGCACACAACCGCAAACAUAACACCCUUCACUUAAUUUUAUAAAAGUUUUAAAAUUCCACAAUUUUCUCUCUUUUUGAAUUCAAUAACUAAAUAAAUCUUGGAAUAUUUUAGAAAAAUUUAAAUUCUUAUUUAAUUUAGUGUUUUCUAAUAACAAUCCAAAAUUAAAAAUUUUGGAGUGUUAUAGAUCUACCCCACUUAACAUAAAUCUCGUCCCGAGAUUUGAAGAAACUAGAGAGAAAGAUAAAGUAGAUCAUCGAAGUUGUUUCGAGACUUUCAAGAUGUGAUCAAAGGAUUAAAGAUAGACAUAAAGGGUAUAGAGUAUGCUACAGAUUUGAAGACAAAGAAAGAUAAACAUAUGAGAUAGAAAUUGAUCUUUGGAUCCUGUAUUACGAUAAAGUGCAAGGGCAAAAAGCCAAGGUUAACAGGAGAUAACACAUAGGAGACAAAGAUAGAUACUAUAGUACUCACAAUUUCCUCGAUUCUGGAUAUGUAUAAGAUAGUAGAUGAAAGGAUAAAGAAUUAGCAAAAGUUGACGAGGGAGACUUAAAUUUAUUUUCCAGUCUUCACGCUUAAUAUUUUGUAGUCCUAUGAGACGUAGGAUCAAAGAUCACAUGAUAGAAAAAUUGAUAAGGGUUCAUUGCGAGAAUGAUAAUGAUCAAUAUAUAGUUCUCCAUGUCUUUAUGAUUAGAGAUUUUCGAGAGUGAUGAUCGUAGCAGACGCUACCCCACUUAAACCAAGUGUUAGCUUAUCUUCCAAAAUCCUGUAUAAGAACACUCAUCUUGACGGUAGAUAAUCUUCAAAGUUUUCCUUUGGAGGUUACUAGUUUGACAACACGCUGCACAGAUGGAGAUUCCGAGGAACAGGGAGAGAAUCAACACAACGAUUGGGAAAGGAUAGAUUAAAAUUAUCUUAAUUUCCUUGGUGAUGGUGUGCGACUACACCAAAAGAUGAAGAGUGUAUUCAGGAUAAAGCUCUCAGGCACCACCCGGAAAAGCAAUCCAAGG
rnacentral:lncRNA from 1 species